UAUUGGAUGUGACCCUGUUCGUGGUGCACGGUAAAAAACUGACUUUGGGUAACCGUAGUGCACUGCUUGAUGCGCACAUCAUCCGUAAGGUAGAAGUCCCAGGCGCUGGCAUGGCAGAUCAAAUCCCGACCAUCAGAGGGCUU